AGCUAACGCGUUAAACAGGGCGCCUGGGGAUUACGGCCGCAAGGCUAAAACUCAAAGGAAUUGACGGGGACCCGCACAAGCAGUGGAGCGCCUGGUUUAAUUCGAUGAUCAGCGAAGAACCUCACCUGGGCUUGAACUAUAGCUGCAUCCCGGCAGAAACGCCGGGAGCCUUCGAGGGUGCUAUAGAGGUGCUGCAUGGCUGUCGUCAGCUCGUGUCGUGAGAUGUAGGGUUAAGUCCCACAACGAGCGCAACCCCUAUUCUGUAUUACAAUUAUUCAGAAGACUGCCUCGCCACAACGAGGAGGAAGGAGGGGACGACGUCCAGUCAUCAUAUCCCUUAUGUCCAGGGCUACACAGACGCUACAAUGGCUACUACAACGGGUUGCCAAGCCGCAAGGCGGAGCCAAUCCCAUCAAAAGUAGCCUCAGUUCAGAUUGCAGGCUGCAACUCGCCUGCAUGAAGCCGGAAUUGCUAGUAAUCGCGUAUCAGCACGGCGCGGUGAAUACGUUCUCGGGUCUUGUACACACCGCCCAUCAGGGCACGGGAGUUGCUCUUGCUCAAAGUCUCACUUUAUGUGGGCCAA
rnacentral:rRNA from 1 species